rnacentral:rRNA from 1 species
AUAGGAUCUACCUAGUAGUACGGAAUAAUUGUUGGAAACGACAACUAAUACCGUAUACGCCCUACGGGGGAAAAAUUUAUUGCUAUUAGAUGAGCCUAUAUUAGAUUAGCUAGUUGGUGGGGUAAUAGCCUACCAAGGUAAUGAUCUAUAGCUGAUCUGAGAGGAUGAUCAGCCACACUGGAACUGAGAUACGGUCCAGACUCCUACGGGAGGCAGCAGUGGGGAAUAUUGGACAAUGGGCGAAAGCCUGAUCCAGCCAUGCCGCAUGAGUGAAGAAGGCCUUUGGGUUGUAAAGCUCUUUUAGUGAGGAAGAUAAUGACGGUACUCACAGAAGAAGUCCUGGCUAACUCCGUGCCAGCAGCCGCGGUAAUACGGAGAGGGCUAGCGUUAUUCGGAAUUAUUGGGCGUAAAGGGCGCGUAGGCUGGUUAAUAAGUUAAAAGUGAAAUCCCGAGGCUUAACCUUGGAAUUGCUUUUAAAACUAUUAAUCUAGAGAUUGAAAGAGGAUAGAGGAAUUCCUGAUGUAGAGGUAAAAUUCGUAAAUAUUAGGAGGAACACCAGUGGCGAAGGCGUCUAUCUGGUUCAAAUCUGACGCUGAAGCGCGAAGGCGUGGGGAGCAAACAGGAUUAGAUACCCUGGUAGUCCACGCUGUAAACGAUGAAUGUUAAAUAUGGGGAGUUUACUUUCUGUAUUACAGCUAACGCGUUAAACAUUCCGCCUGGGGACUACGGUCGCAAGAUUAAAACUCAAAGGAAUUGACGGGGACCCGCACAAGCGGUGGAGCAUGUGGUUUAAUCGAUGCAACGCG